GUCUUUUUGUUAAAAAUUUAAAGUCGGGCCUGCCCACUGAAAUUUUAAAUGGCCGUGGUAUUUUGACCGUGCUAAGGUAGCAUAAUCAUUAGUUUUUUAAUUGAAAGCUGGAAUGAAAGGUUUGAUAAAAAAAUGACUGUCUCUAUUUAAUUUUAUUAGAAAUUUAUUUUUAAGUUCAAAAGCUUAAUUUUUAUUAAAAGACGAGAAGACCCUAUAGAGUUUAAUAAUUUAAGGUAAUUUAUAUUUUAGAAUUAAUUUAUUUAUUUUUUAAUAUUAUUUAAUUGGGGUGAUUGAAAAAUUUAAUUAACUUUUUUUAUAUUUGACCAUUAAUUUAUGAUAAUUUGAUCCAAUUUUUUUGAUUAUAAGAUAAAAUUACCUUAGGGAUAACAGCGUAAUUUUUUUAGAAAGUUCAAAUUAAAAGAAAAGAUUGCGACCUCGAUGUUGGAUUAAAAUUAAAUUUUGGUGUAGAAGCUAAAAAUUUUAAGUCUGUUCGACUUUUAAAAUUUUACA
rnacentral:rRNA from 1 species